rnacentral:lncRNA from 1 species
AAUUCCUAAUUCAGAAACCCUAGCCGUCAGCCACCCUUAAGCUACCACCUCCAUGGCAACCACCACGCCGCCAGUGACCACCACCCAACAGUCCCGCCGUCACCAACAACGCAAUCUCCAUGCGUGACCACCGUGUAACCCAAGACUGCCGUCAACAUUGCGUUCUCGCACACCACCAUUCAUAAUCGUCAACAUCACCUCACCGGCCACCAGGAGCUCGCCGCAAGGAUGCCACCGUCAAAGCGUUUUCAACCUUUCAACAGUGCUACCAUCCUCACAGAAUCGCACAAUCUCUUUCGGCGAGAGACGACCAUCAUCCACCAAAACCAGACCUGCAGAGGAAAACCCAGAAACUCAGAAAUUGCCAUCAUCUCUUUUGACACCACCAUGCAAGGUCGUCUUCGAACUCUCAAGCCACCAUAACCUGCACCAUCGUGCAACCAUCAUCAUCACCUCAGUAGGCCGUCGUCAACCUCAUCGCAGCAUCAUCCCAAAUCGUUUUUGCGUCACCACACUAAAGCACGACCUCCUUGUCGUCGUGAGCCUUCAU